rnacentral:rRNA from 1 species
GACGAACGCUGGCGGCGUGCUUAACACAUGCAAGUCGAACGGAAAGGCCCUGCUUUUGUGGGGUGCUCGAGUGGCGAACGGGUGAGUAACACGUGAGUAACCUGCCCUUGACUUUGGGAUAACUUCAGGAAACUGGGGCUAAUACCGGAUAGGAGCUCCUGCUGCAUGGUGGGGGUUGGAAAGUUUCGGCGGUUGGGGAUGGACUCGCGGCUUAUCAGCUUGUUGGUGGGGUAGUGGCUUACCAAGGCUUUGACGGGUAGCCGGCCUGAGAGGGUGACCGGCAACAUGGGGAAGGAAAACCGACACGGCCUCAGAGGGGGGGCAGGGGGGGGGAAUGGUCAAGAAGGGGCGGAGGCGGAAUGCAGCAAGGCCGUGGGGGGGAGGAGGGCUUGGGGUUGGAAAACGGGUUCCGCCGGUAACGAAGGGGGAGUGAGGGUAAGGGAUAAAGAAGCACCGGCAAAUUACGUG